rnacentral:lncRNA from 1 species
UUGCAAAGCAACCCCAUAUCAUCUAAUGUGCGUAGGUCCAAGGGGGUCGAUUUGUGGGUGGGGGAGAGGUCAGUGUGUGCUGGGUGUAGCAAUUUAAGAUUCACUGCAAUGGCAAUGAUCAGAUGGCCUAAAAUCAGGGGCCUGUGAUACUGUAUGAUGCUGGAUAAUUGGGUGGCAACCCAAUAUCCAAGAUGGAUCUUCCUGUGUGUGUGCAUACACCAUAGUAUGUAUAGCUCAGUUCUGGUCAAGAUGUUGGAAGCAUCCUUCCUCCCAGAAAAUGUGUAGGCUAAGAAUCUGUGAAUGUAUUUCAGGGAGGGAUUUUUCAGAUGCAGGUCUUUGGACCUGGUGGGCAAGUAGGAAUCAGGAGGAUUAUCACAUAACUCCAAAUAUGCAGAACUUGGAUUAAACUCAGCAGGGAAGUCCUAGAUAGACUCAGGGCAUUCACAACCCAUGGCGAUGCCGAAUUCCUGCAGGGACAAGCGAAAUCGCUGUCCCAAUAGCCUGAAUCCUAUUGUGUUUGGUGUGUACAUGUUGUUCAUGGCAGGUCUAUCAAAAUAAAAGGUGGUGAAGAACUCGUGUGUGAGUUCAAUGAAAGAGGGCAUGCGCAAGAAGAAAAAUUUGUCCCAACCAAUAGCAGAGAUGAGGGAGUGUACCUGGUUAUGGAGUCUCAGCGCGCCAAGGGUACCAUGGUGUAUGUACUUACCUGGGUGAUAGGGCAGAGAUAAAAUUUUGUCCAGCCUGGUGCGCUCAGAAGCCUUGUUGAAUGUCAGGGCUUGAGUGAUGUGAUCUGGGCAUGAUGGUUUAGGCAAAUCGCUGGGCAGAUCACUCGGCAUAUCGCUGGGCAUAUCACUGGGCAUAUCACUGGGCAAGUCACUGGGCAUGUCGCUGGGCAAAUUGCUUACUACGUAGCUUACGGGGUCUGUGUCAAAUGGAGUCUCUAGUUCUUGCUCUGUGCUCGGCGGUGGAGGUGGUGACGACGUUCUUGGCCAUUUUUGGCCGAGGCUAGCAGAAUGGGUGUCUUCUUGAGGUGUUUCGUCCUCCUGGGUUUCCAUUGCGACUGUGGAAAAGGAAGGUGGUGGCUCGGUCGUCGUCGCCCUUUUGCGCCGGCGAUAAGUCUGGACGUCCGGUGAGUCGGAGCGCUCGGUCGCUGUUCCAGUAGCCGGUGGCAUUUCGAUGCUGGUGGGGACUGGUGGAGUGGUGUCCCAUGCUUUGGCAUCGCUAUCAGAGGGAGUGGGUCUCGGUAGCCCUAGUCGCCGCCACAUGCCGGGUCCGCCGGUGGCCUUCAUUUUGAUUCUGACCAUGGUGGCUGUCCUCUUUCUGAAAAUACGCUCAUGGCGUGGUGUGAUGGGACCUGCAGGUGCUAUGGAAAAUAUAUCCCCCACUUUGCAAAGCAACCCCAUAUCAUCUAAUGUGCGUAGGUCCAAGGGGGUCGAUUUGUGGGUGGGGGAGAGGUCAGUGUGUGCUGGGUGUAGCAAUUUAAGAUUCACUGCAAUGGCAGUGAUCAGAUGGCCUAAAAUCAGGGGCCUGUGAUACUGUAUGAUGCUGGAUAAUUGGGUGGCAACCCAAUAUCCAAGAUGGAUCUUCCUGUAUGUGUGCAUGCACCAUAGUAUGUAUAGCUCAGUUCUGGUCAGGAUGUUGGAAGCAUCCUUCCUCCCAGAAAAUGUGUAGGCUAAGAAUCUGUGAAUGUAUUUCAGGGAGGGAUUUUUCAGAUGCAGGUCUUUGGACCUGGUGGGCAAGUAGG